CAAAGAUCUGCUGACGUCACUU
rnacentral:miRNA from 1 species